GGUCUUUUCCAGAAUGGCCUAGGAAUGGGA
rnacentral:piRNA from 1 species